UUUUAAAACUAUAGAUUGCUCAUUUAAAUUAUUUUAUUUCAUAAAUUUUAAUCUUUAAACUAGGAUUAGAUACCCUACUAUUUUAAUAUGUAAUUUUGAUUGCCUAGGUAGUAUUAGUUAUGGUCUUGAAACUUAAAAAAUUUGGSGGUAUUUUAGUCUGUUCAGAGGAACCUGUUCYGUAAUCGAUAGUCCACGUUGGAUCUUACUUGAUCUUGUUUAGUUUGUAUACCGCCGUUAUUGAAUAUUUUAUUAGAACAAUAAUUUUCAAUAAUUUUUAUAAAAAUUUAUAUCAGGUCAAGGUGCAGCUUAUGGUUAAGUUUAAAAUGGGUUACAAUAAAUUUAUUUAUACGGAUUUUAGAAUUAAAUUUUUAGAUGAAGGAGGAUUUGAUAGUAAUAUUGCUUAGAGAGGCAAUAUGAUUUUAGCUCUAAAAUAUGUAC
rnacentral:rRNA from 1 species